rnacentral:rRNA from 1 species
UACAGAGGUUGCAAGCGUUAAUCGGAUUUACUGGGCGUAAAGCGUGUGUAGGUGGCUUGACAAGUCGGUUGUGAAAUCCCCGGGCUCAACCUGGGAAUUGCUUCCGAGACUGUCAGGCUAGAGAUCGGUAGAGGGCGGUGGAAUUUCCGGUGUAGCGGUGAAAUGCGUAGAUAUCGGAAGGAACACCAAUGGCGAAGGCAGCCGCCUGGGCCUGAUCUGACACUGAGACACGAAAGCGUGGGGAUCAAACAGG